GAAUGUGAGGGCGAUCUAGCUGUGACAUCUAUCACCCCAUUGGUCGCCAGGGUUGAUCUGGCUCAUCUGGCUGGCUCUAGGGUGUCCCCUUCCUCCCUCAACGCUCCAUGUGUGUCCCUCCCAAAGCUACGUGUUCGGUCGAAGAGGACGACCACCCCUGACAGAGGAGGACCGCUCCUGGGUCAGAGGAAUGUGAGUAGCUGCGUUCCCCUGCUAGAACCUGGAAACAAGCUCUCAAGAUACUUCUUAGAGAUAGGAAACAUCCUUUCUAUUUUCCAGAAGAUAACCGGUGAUGAAUAUCACUCU
rnacentral:snRNA from 1 species